GUCCACGCCCUAAACGAUGCGAACUGGAUGUUGGGUGCAACUAGGCACUCAGUAUCGAAGCUAACGCGUUAAGUUCGCCGCCUGGGGAGUACGGUCGCAAGACUGAAACUCAAAGGAAUUGACGGGGGCCCGCACAAGCGGUGGAGUAUGUGGUUUAAUUCGAAGCAACGCGAAGAACCUUACCAGGUCUUGACAUCCUUUGACCACUCUAGAGAUAGAGUUUCCCCUUCGGGGGCAAAGUGACAGGUGGUGCAUGGUUGUCGU
rnacentral:rRNA from 1 species